rnacentral:rRNA from 1 species
UACGUAGGUGGCGAGCGUUGUCCGGAUUUACUGGGCGUAAAGGGCGUGCAGGCGGUCUGUUAAGUCUAGGGUGAAAGCUCCCGGCUCAACUGGGAGAGGUCCUUGGAUACUGGCGGACUUGAGGGAGACAGAGGAGAGUGGAAUUCCCGGUGUAGUGGUGAUAUGCGUAGAUAUCGGGAGGAACACCAGUGGCGAAGGCGGCUCUCUGGGUCUUACCUGACGCUGAGACGCGAAAGCGUGGGGAGCGAACCGGAUUAGAUACCCGGGUAGUCCACGCCGUAAACGAUGGACACUAGGUGUGGGGGGUAUCGACCCCCUCUGUGCCGAAGCCAACGCAGUAAGUGUCCCGCCUGGGGAGUACGGCCGCAAGGCUAAA